GCCACACCCUUGGGACUGCAGCCCUGUGAAGCCUGAGGGUCUGACGAAAGUCAAGAAAAAUCUGCAUUGCAACUCUUCGAAGAUAAGAAUGUGACAUCUUGUGUCGUUUUCCAGAGGCAGCUGCAUAAAUCACAGGAGACUGAAUACAGGAGAAGAUGUAAGAAUCCAGUCAGCUUCUAUCAAACCAGACAUAAAAGACAUUUGCAGAUAUGUAAAACAAUGCCACUCUUCACAUUGCAUUUUUUUAAAAUAUUAUUUCCCAGAAAAUAUAUCAUCUAUGUUAAUAUGGAA